rnacentral:lncRNA from 1 species
AUAGAGUGAGGCUACUAUGCUUCUCCAAGUCGUUUUCCAUGUUGUGACUUUCGAAUCGUCGAUCGGCUCCGUUAAACUUGAUCUAGAGUAUUUGAAGUACCUAGAAAAUAAAUUAUGCAAUUUUUCGAUAUUAUUUGCCUAGUAAACGAAGGGGCUCAAAAUCAACAGCUGAAAAUAAAAAUCUUACAAAACGUGAUAAUAUGACAUUAAAAUUUUAGAUCAAAGAUAUUGAUCUUGUUUUAUAUAGUAUAAAGAAUUUUCUAUCAAAAUUUCACGUGAUUUGGAUAUUUCUACACCGUUAAAUUUGCAAAUGACUCACUAUGGCCAUUAAAAUUAUUGAUUUUGAGCCCCUUCGAUCACUAGGCAAAUGAUAUCGAAAAAUUAUAAAAUUUAUUUUCUAGGUACUUUGAAUACAAUAGAUCAAGUUUAACGGAGCCGAUCGACGAUUCGAAAGUCGCAACAUCGAAACGACCUGGAAGCACAGAAGGCUCCGUGCUUCCAAAAGCAUAGUAGCCUCACUCAUAUAUAUAUAUAUAUAUAUAUAUAUAUAUAUAUAAAAUCCGAUAAUCACCUCCAAGUCCCUCCAAUUAGCAAAAAUACGGCCAAAGUCCCUCCCUACUAGCCUUCUCUCGCAGAAAGAUCCCCGCCCGAGGGUGCACACGCAAAACGGAGCAACUAGAAGUUUUAAAAAACGAUAAAGAACAAAAGUCCACUUUGCGAUAAAAUCCAAUUUUCUCGAAGGGAUAAUUGCUUAUAUACUCAUACGUUUGAAAAUAUCCGAUUUAUCCCUAUUUUUCCUUUCUAAAAUACCCCUCAUAUGUUCCACCGUUAUUGUAAAAUACCCCCUCAGUUAUCUCCUGUUAAGUUAACUAGGGUUAAACGUGAGUUAAACAUCUACCACAGUUAAAAGAAAUUAAAAUGCCAAGUUUGCCCUUAACUUAAGGGCAAAUAAGAAAUGUUGAUGACGGUAGAGGGAUAUAUUGAAAAAGACCAAAAGUCAAAAUACAUUUUGUGCCCCUGACUUUAAGGGCAAAUAAGAAAGUUAGUGAUGGUGGAAGGGUAUAUUUGAAAGGGCAAAAUAGUAAUUUUACAGAAUUAAUAUAGUUAAUUAACAGAUUUUAACUCUUAAGGAUAUAUUAGAAAUUGGUUGGAACGUAAAGAGGGUAUUUUCAAUAUUAGCCUUCUAAGAGGGGUAAAUCGGAAAGUCGGAAACUUUUCAGGGGUAUAUAAGUAAUUGCCCCGUUCUCGAAAACUGUGCGUCAAACCCAAAAUCCGUCAGCACCAUUGUGUCGGGGAA